rnacentral:tRNA from 1 species
GGGGAUUUGGCUCAGUGGUAGAGCGCUUGCCUAGCAAGCACAAGGCCCUGGGUUCAGUCCCAGCUCCG